CCCCUUGGCGAUGAUGAGCUAGUCGCCAACAUCCUGACGGGCCUCAACAUGGAGUACAAUCCUCUUGUGUCAAUAUUGCUUGCGUGGGUGCAGCCCGUCUCCUUCAGCGAGCUUAAGGCUAAACUUCUGAUCUUUAAGA
rnacentral:snoRNA from 1 species